AGGUCUCUUUGGACACUGGUGUACAGGUGGUGCAUGGCUGUCGUCAGCUCGUGUCGUGAGAUGUUGGGUUAAGUCCCGCAGCGAGCGCAACCCUCGUCUUAUGUUGCCAGCACGUCAUGGUGGGGACUCAUAAGAGACUGCCGGGGUCAACUCGGAGGAAGGUGGGGAUGACGUCAAGUCAUCAUGCCCCUUAUGCCUAGGGCUUCACGCAUGCUACAAUGGCCG
rnacentral:rRNA from 1 species